rnacentral:rRNA from 1 species
AGAGUUUGAUCCUGGCUCAGAUUGAACGCUGGCGGCAUGCCUUACACAUGCAAGUCGAACGGCAGCACGGGUGCUUGCACCUGGUGGCGAGUGGCGAACGGGUGAGUAAUACAUCGGAAUGUACCUUGUAGUGGGGGAUAGCUCGGCGAAAGCCGGAUUAAUACCGCAUACGCUCUGAGGAGGAAAGCGGGGGACCUUCGGGCCUCGUGCUACAAGAGCAGCCGAUGUCAGAUUAGCUAGUUGGUGGGGUAAAAGCUCACCAAGGCGACGAUCUGUAGCUGGUCUGAGAGGACGACCAGCCACACUGGGACUGAGACACGGCCCAGACUCCUACGGGAGGCAGCAGUGGGGAAUUUUGGACAAUGGGCGAAAGCCUGAUCCAGCAAUGCCGCGUGUGUGAAGAAGGCCUUCGGGUUGUAAAGCACUUUUGUCCGGAAAGAAAUCCUCUGGGUUAAUACCUCGGGGGGAUGACGGUACCGGAAGAAUAAGCACCGGCUAACUACGUGCCAGCAGCCGCGGUAAUACGUAGGGUGCAAGCGUUAAUCGGAAUUACUGGGCGUAAAGCGUGCGCAGGCGGUUUUGUAAGACGGAUGUGAAAUCCCCGGGCUUAACCUGGGAACUGCAUUCGUGACUGCAAGGCUAGAGUAUGGCAGAGGGGGGUAGAAUUCCACGUGUAGCAGUGAAAUGCGUAGAGAUGUGGAGGAAUACCGAUGGCGAAGGCAGCCCCCUGGGCCAAUACUGACGCUCAUGCACGAAAGCGUGGGGAGCAAACAGGAUUAGAUACCCUGGUAGUCCACGCCCUAAACGAUGUCAACUAGUUGUUGGGGAUUCAUUUCCUUAGUAACGUAGCUAACGCGUGAAAGUUGACCGCCUGGGGAGUACGGUCGCAAGAUUAAAACUCAAAGGAAUUGACGGGGACCCGCACAAGCGGUGGAUGAUGUGGAUUAAUUCGAUGCAACGCGAAAAACCUUACCUACCCUUUGACAUGUACGGAAUCCUGCUGAAAGGUGGGAGUGCCUCGAAAGAAAAGCCGUUAAACCAGGUGCUGCCAUGGGCCUG